rnacentral:ncRNA from 1 species
AAAAAAGCAAAGAUGAGAAGAAGUAAUUAUUAGAACUGGUUUAAGCGAGUAGAUGAUGGUGAAAGAUCUAUACUAAGCUAGUAAUGAAUAACAUCUCGGAGCUUCCAAUGGAAAUUUAAUUUUUAAAAAGUACACUUGGACGGAACCAUCCUGUUAGAAAAUGGACAGUAUCGAAUAAGUUUAAAUUCUGUACUGGUUAAGGAGAACUUGUUAUUUAGUUAAUUUAGGUGGUACCGCGGAAGAUAUACCUUUCGUCCUAGUU